rnacentral:rRNA from 1 species
ACACUUUACAAUGCGGGAAACCGCGAUAAGGGAACCCCGAGUGCCAGCAUCAAAUGUUGGCUGUCCAGAUGAUUAAAAAUCAUUUGUUAGCAAGGGCCGGGCAAGACCGGUGCCAGCCGCCGCGGUAACACCGGCGGCCCGAGUGGUAGCCGUUUUUAUUGGGUAUAAAGGGUCCGUAGCCGGCCUGAUAAGUCCUUUGGGAAAUCUGGCAGCUUAACUGUCAGGCUUCUAAGGGAUACUGUCAGGCUUGGGACCGGAAGAGGUAAGGGGUACUCCAGGGGUAGGAGUGAAAUCUUGUAAUCCCUGGGGGACCAUCUGUGGCGAAGGCGCCUUACCAGAACGGGUCCGACGGUGAGGGACGAAAGCUAGGGGAGCAAACCGGAUUAGAUACCCGGGUAGUCCUAGCUGUAAACGAUGCUCGCUAGGUGUCAGACACGGUGCGACCGUGUUUGGUGCCGCAGGAAGCCGUUAAGCGAGCCACCUGGAAGUACGUCGCAAGGC